AUGGCCUUAAAUCACUUCAAUAUUAACAACACAUCUACUUUUAUUUUCAAGAGAGGACUCAUGGCAAGUUCUAGAGAUCAACACACAUGCUCAAAUGAUUUACACUCAAGAACAAAAUGAGAUUGUAAAUGUAUGACAAUCAAAGACUCAAUUCUCACAAGCUCAUUUUCAUUUUCAAGUUCUUGGAGGUACAACAUUUAGCUCAUUGUCACAAGUUCAAACUCUACAUGCAAAAUCAACAAGUGACACACAACAAUUUUUUUCAAAAACAACAAUCAUAUCAUAAGCCCAACACACAUUUCAUCCAACUCAUGUUUUUCAACAAUCAAGCU
rnacentral:lncRNA from 1 species